rnacentral:rRNA from 1 species
CUACGGGCCGCUGCAGUGGGGAAUAUUGCACAAUGGAGGAAACUCUGAUGCAGCAACGCCGCGUGGAGGAUGACACUUUUCGGAGCGUAAACUCCUUUUAUAUAGGAAGAUAAUAACGGUACUAUAUGAAUAAGCACCGGCUAACUCCGUGCCAGCAGCCGCGGUAAUACGGAGGGUGCAAGCGUUACUCGGAAUCACUGGGCGUAAAGAGCGUGUAGGCGGGUUAAUAAGUCAGAAGUGAAAUCCUAUGGCUCAACCAUAGAACUGCUUUUGAAACUGUUAACCUAGAGUGUGGGAGAGGUAGAGGGAAUUUCUGGUGUAGGGGUAAAAUCCGUAGAGAUCAGAAGGAAUACCGAUUGCGAAGGCGAUCUACUGGAACAUAACUGACGCUGAGACGCGAAAGCAUGGGGAGCAAACAGGAUUAGAUACCCUAGUAGUC